AAUCUUGAACUUUUGGCUGCUACUAACCAGCUACCAGAGUUUUUGCCCACUUCCUCGUGUCGUGCGCUGUGUGGCUUGUCAACUGGAGUGGGGUUGGGGUGACAGUGUAAUUGCCGGAAGCAAGCCGACUUGAGCAGAGAGGGUGGCGGGUGGCGGUACAUCCGGUAGGUCUACCUUUGAGCCCGGCAGCAGCUGGGUUUCCUGUCCCAUCCUACUUGGUAGAACCUCCCUGGCUGAAUUCCCCUAGAAACUGGGUGGAGUGGUCAGAAGGAGAGGGGAGCAGGGCUUGGCGAGUCUGGCAGGAGAGGCUGAAGAGGCUUGAGCAGCUGUGUCCUUGCGUUCCAGAAGCCAGAUCCGGGCUGGAAGAGCCCAGGGCACCGCCCUCAGUUCUCCAGGAGAGUGCGCCGGAGUGGAGCCAGGAGGGGUGUGCCCGACUCAACACGGGGGCCAUGCACGUCCAGUCUGCUGGCAUGGGCAGUGGGGAGCCGGGGGAAGUCAUGGCCUUGCGAAUGUCCUCUGAUGAAAAGGAACCUGCGGGCUUAAUAAAGUAACUUGCGUGGAACGUCGGUGUGCUGAAAAGCAGUUGUGUGUGCUUUUCCCCCUUGGUGUGGGUCAGUGGUGCUGAGGUAGCAGGCGCGAUACAGAACUGUGAGCAGAGACCUGGAAUCCCCAGACUCCAGGGAAACUGAAGGUGACGGCCAGCCUAGUGAAGAGGACAGGGGGCGGGGGCGGGGGCGGCAGCCCAGCAGGCGCCCCUCACCUUAGGGCCCUAAUCCUGGCUCCAGCCCGCUGGUCAGGGGAGCUGCACGGUCCCUUGGGUGAGCAGAGCCCACAGUCCUGAGCCGUUCUUCGCUGUGUUGGGUCAUCUCCCGCCAUCCAAGGGGGGAAUCUAGAUGAGGGUUAAGAAGUAGUGCUUUAAGAAUGUGGAUCUCAUAGUUGGAGCACGUGUCUUCAGCACAAGGUGUUAAAGUGAACGGAAGGAUUCAACCCCUUUUCGAGGAGGGCGUCUCCAUGUGGGCAGAACUAGAGAAUAAAUGGGUCUUGAAUACACUGUCUUGACUUGCGUUUCUGUCUUAUCAGCUGAGGGCGCAGCAGGAGUUGAGGGUGUGAGAGGGUCAGGCUCCUGGGCUCACAGCUUCCUGUUUGCGGGGGAGGAGGGAACAGGGGACCCUUGGCUUUUUCCCGGACAGUGGAUGUACACCUAGUGGCUCAUUGGCAUCAGUGGAGACGCCUUCGUAGGCUGGGCCACACUGCUCUGCGGCACAGGGAGAAGUUAAGUGUAGAAGCUCCUUACGAGAGAAAUUCCGUCAGCCCACCCUCCCAUCCCCAUCGGAACCACACCGGAUCCGGGCUGGGGGCUCAGCUUGCAGCGCCCUUGCCCUUGGCUCCAGUCAUAACCCCAGCCAACCAACAGCCAGGAUGUGGCUGCCCUCCAGCAGACCGUCCAGGCUGGGGUCUGGAGUGGGCUGAGGGGACUCGGGUGCUCACGGAAAAUCUAUUUAUUUACAUGCAUGUUCUCCAAAGUAACAAAACCUUGGUCUAGGCAGGUCCCUUGGCCAGCCCUUGGUGCUCGGGCUCUAGGUCCUUCCCUCUCCUCCCAGCCUCUCCCGUUCCAGCUGCACAGUCGCGUCUGGGAGCCUAGAAAACCCUGGGGGUGGUGGGUGUAGGGGCAGGAGCCCCACGGCUGCCUGAGCUCUGGAGACCCACAGGGUCGACACUGGAGCAGCCCCGUCCUUUGGUGGGGGAAGGGGGUAGAGGGCCAAGGGCAGGCGUGGUUCUUGGGGCAGG
rnacentral:lncRNA from 1 species